rnacentral:rRNA from 1 species
GACAGAGGUGCCGAGCGUUAGGCGGAAUCACUGGGCUUAAAGCGUGUGUAGGCGGACUCGUAAGUGCUUUGUGAAAUCCCACGGCUCACCCGUGGAACUGCUUGGCAUACUGCGAGCCUUGAGCCACUUAGGGGCAGAUGGAACUUCCGGUGGAGCGGUGAAAUGCGUAGAUAUCGGAAGGAACGCCGGUGGCGAAAGCGAUCUGCUGGACCUCUUCUGACGCUGAUGCGCGAAAGCCAGGGGAGCAAACGGG